AAGAGCAUAAAGCUCACUUGCCCAUGCUGCUUAUUGAAAACUUAAAGCUCACUUGUCCCUGUCAUUUGUAAAAGAACUUAAAGCUCACUUAUCCUCAUUGUUAAUUGAAGAGCUUAAAGCAUAAAGCUCACUUGUCCCUGCUGCAUAUUAAACAGCAUAAAGCUCGCGUGUCCCUAUGGCUUAUAGAAAAGCUUGAAGGUUAGUUGUCCCAGUCUCUUAUAGAAGAGUUUAAAGCUCACGCUCCCUGUUGCUUAUAAAAGAGAUUAAAAUAAUCUUGUCCAUGUCCCUAAUAGAACAACUUAAAGCUCACAUAAAAGAGCAUGUAGCUCACGUGUCCAUAUGGAUAUAAAAUAGCAUAAAGCUCAACGUUUCCUUCCCAUUUAUGAAAAAGCUUAGAGGUCACUUGUCCCUCUCGCUUAUAAAAGGGCUUAAAGCUCACGGGUCCCUGUUGUUUAAUAUAAGAGCUUAAAGCUCACUUUUCUCUGCCACUCGUAAAAGACCAUAAAGCUUACUUGCUCCUGCCGCUUAUAAAAGAGCGUAAAGCUCACUUGUCCCUGUCAUUUAUGAAAGAGUUUUAACGCUCACUUGUUCCCAUCAUUAAUUAAAGAGCUUGAAGCAUAACGCUCACUUGUCCCUGCUGCUUAUUAAAGAGCAUAAAGCCCACUUGUCCCUCUGGCUUAUGGAAAAGCUUAAAGGUUGCUUGUCCCUGUCUCCUAUAGAAGAGUUUAAAGCUCAUGUGUCCAUGUUGCUUAUAAAAGAGAUUAAUAUAAACUUGUCCAUGUCCCUACUAAAAUAACUUAAAGCUCACAUAAAAGAGCAUGACGCUCACGUGUCCCGAUGUUGAUUAUAAAAGAGCUUAAAGCUCACUUGUCCUCGUCGCUUGCAAAAGAGCUAAAGCUCACUUGUCCCCCCUCCCCCCGCGCUUAUAAAAGAACUUAAAAGCUCACUUGUCUCUGCCGCUUAUAGAAGAGCUCAAAGUUCUGGGGUCUGUGUAUAUAAAAGAGCUUAAAGCUCAUGUGUCCCGGUUGCUUAUAAAAGAGCUUAAAGCUCACUUGUCCCUCUCGUUUAUAAAAAAGAGCAUAAAGGUCACAUGUCUUUAUCGCUUCUUAAAGAGCUUAAAGCUCACUUGUCCCUAUGGCUUAUAAAAGAGCUUGAAGCUCAUUCGUCCUGCUGCUUAUAAAAGAGUAGGAAGCUCACGUGUCAAUGUGGCUCAUAAAAGAGCUUAAAGUUUGCUUGUCUCUGUAGCUUAUAAAAGGGCUUAAAGCUGAAAGCUCAUGUGUCCUAUUGGCUUAUAAAAGAGUUUAAAGCUCACGUGUCCCUUCUGUUCAUAAAAGAGUUUAGUGCUCAUGUGUCCCUCUUACUUACAAAAGAGCGCAAUGCUCAUGUGUCACUCCUAAGCAAGAGCUUAAUGCUCACAUGUCCCUGGUGCUUAUAAAAGAGCUUAAAGCUCAUGUGUCCCGGUUGCUUAUAAAAGUGCUUAACACUCACGUGUCCUUGCUUAAGAAAGAGUUUAAUGCUCAUAACCCAAUGAUUACGAAAUAGCUUGAUGAUCAUGUGUGAAAGCGCUUAAUGCUCAAAUGUCCCUGUUGCUUAUCUAAAAACUUUCUCGAGUGUCCCUGUUGCAUAUGAAAAGAGCUUAAUGCGCACGUAUCCCUCAGAGCUGAUGCUCACAUGUCCCUCAUGUGUCCCUGUGGCAUAUGAAAGAGCUUACAGCUCACUUGUCCCUAUCAAUUAUAAAAGUGCUUAAAGCUCACUUGUGCCUAUUCCUUAUUAAAGCGCCUAAAGCUUACGUGUUCCCUGUUGCUGAUAAAAGAGUUUCAAGUUUACUUGCCCCCAUCGCUUAUAAAAGAGCUUAAAGCUCACAUAAAAUAGCAUGAAGCUCACUUGUCCUUGUGAAUUAUAAAAGAGUUUAGAGCUCACUUGUCGGUGUCGCUUAUAAAAGAGCUUAAAGCUCACUUGUCCCUCCCACUUAUACAAGAGCAUAAAGCUCACGUGUCCUGGUUGCUUGUAAAAUAGCUUAUAGCUGACUUGUCCCUCUCUCUCGCUCUCUUAUAAAAGAGCUUAAACCUCACGUCUCCCUGUCACUUAUGAAAGAGCAUUCAGCUCACUUGUCUAUGUCACUUAUAAAGAGCUCAAAGCUCAUGUGUCUAUGUCCCUUAUAAAAGAGCAUGAAGCGCACGUGUCUCUGUGGCCUAUAAAAGAGCUUAAAGCUCACUUCUCCCUGUUGCUUAUCAAAGAGCUUAAAAGUUACUUGUCCCUCCCCAUUUGUAAAUGUCCCUGUCGUUUAUAAAAUUGCAUAUAGCUCAUGUGUCCUUGAUGCUUGUAAAAGAGCUUAAAGCUCACGUGUCUAUAUCGCUUAUAAAAGAGCUUAAAGCUCUAUAUCGCUUAUAAAAGGCUUAAAGCUCAUGUGUCUCUAUUGCUAAGGCUCAUGUGUCCCUAUUGUUUAUAAAAGAGCUUAACGGCACAGUUACUCUUGCUUAUAAAAGAGCUUAAUGCUCAUUUAUCCUAAUGAUUAUGAAGUAGCACAAUGCUUAUGAAAGAACUUGCUCAAAUGUCCAUGUUGCUUAUGAAAAGCGUCUAAUGCUCAGGUAUCACUCAUAGCUUGAUUCUCACAUGUCCCUACUGCUUAUGAAAGAGCUUAAAGCUCACUUAUCGUGUGGCUUAUGAAAGAGCCUAAAGCUCACUUGCCCUUGUUACUUAUAAAAUAGCAUAAAGCUCACUUGCCCAUGCUGCUUAUUGAAAAACUUUAAAGCUCACUUGUCCCUGUCAUUUGUAAAAGAACUUAAAGCUCACUUAUCCUCAUUGUUAAUUGAAGAGCUUAAAGAUAAAGCUCACUUAGGUCCCUCUGCAUAUUAAACACUAAAGCUCGCGUGUCCCUAUGGCUUAUAGAAAGCUUGAAGGUUAGUUGUCCCAGUCUCUUAUAAAAGAGUUUAAAGCUGACGCUCCCUGUUGCUUAUAAAAGAGAUUAAAAUAAUCUUGUCCAUGUCCCUAAUAGAACAUCUUAAAGUCACAUAAAAGAGAUGAGCUCACGUGUCCAUAUGGAUAUAAAAUAGCAUAAAGCUCAACGUUUCCUUCCCAUUUAUGAAAAAGCUUAGAGGUCACUUGUCUCUCUCGCUUAUAAAAGGGCUUAAAGCUCACGGGUCCCUGUUGUUUAAUAUAAGAGCUUAAAGUUCACCUUUCUCUGCCACUCGUAAAAGACCGUAAAGCUUACUUGCUCCUGCCGCUUAUAAAAGAGCGUAAAACUCACUUGUCCCUGUCAUUUAUGAAAGAGUUUUAACGAUCACUUGUUCCCAUCAUUAAUUAAAGAGCUUGAAGCAUAACGCUCACUUGUCCCUGCUGCUUAUUAAACAACAUAAAGCCCACUUGUCCCUCUGGCUUAUGGAAAAGCUUAAAGGUUGCUCGUCCCUGUCUCCUAUAGAAGAGUUUAAAGCUCAUGUGUCCAUGUUGCUACUAAAAUAACUUAAAGCUCACAUAACAGAGCAUGACGCUCACAUAUCCCGAUGUUGAUUAUAAAAGAGCUUAAAGCUCACUUGUCCUCGUCGCUUGCAAAAGAGCUUAAAGCUCACUUGUCCUCGUCGCUUGCAAAAGAGCUAAAGCUCACUUGUCCCCCAACGCCCCCGCUUAUAAAGAGCUUAAAAGCUCACUGUCUCUGCGCUUAUAAAGAGUUAAAGUUCUGGGGUCUGUAUAAAAGAGCUUAAAGCUCACUUGUCCCCUCGUUUAUAAAAAAGAGCAUAAAGGUCACAUGUCUUUAUCGCUUCUUAAAGAGCUUAAAGCUACUUGUCCCUAUGGCUUAUAAAAGAGCUUGAAGCUCAUUCGUCCUGCUGUUAAAAGAGUAUGAAGUUCACGUGUCCCUGUGGCUCAUAAAAGAGCUUAAACUUUGCUUCUCCCUGUAGCUUAUAAGGCGUAAAGAACUAUGUCAGUGUUCCUAUGGUAUAAAGUUUAAAGCUCACGUGUCCCUUCUGUUCACAGAAGAGUUUAGUGCUCAUGUGUCCCUCUUACUUACAAAAGAGCGCAAUGCUCAUGUGUCACUCCUAAGCAAGAGCUUAAUGCUCACAUGUCCCUGGUGCUUAUAAAAGAGCUUAAAGCUCAUGUGUCCCGGUUGCUUAUAAAAGUGCUUAAGACUCACGUGUCCUUGCUUAAAAUGCUCAUAACCCAAUGAUUACGAAAUAGCUUGAUGAUCAUGUGUGAAAGCGCUUGAUGCUCAAAUGUCCCUGUUGCUUAUCUAAAAACUUUCUCGAGUGUCCCUGUUGCAUAUGAAAAGAGCUUAAUGCGCACGUAUCCCUCAGAGCUGAUGCUCACAUGUCCCUCAUGUGUCCCUGUGGCAUAUGAAAGAGCUUACAGCUCACUUGUCCCUAUCAAUUAUAACAGAGCUUAAAGCUCACUUGUCCCUAUUCCUUAUUAAAGCGCCUAAAGCUUACGUGUUCCGUGUUGCUUAUAAAAGAGUUUCAAGUUUACUUGCCCCCAUCACUUAUAAAAGAGCUUAAAGCUCACAUAAAAUAGCAUGAAGCUCACUUGUCCUUGUGAAUUAUAAAAGAGUUUAGAGCUCACUUGUCGGUGUCGCUUAUAAAAGAGCUUAAAGCUCACUUGUCCCUACUUAUACAAGAGCAUAAAGCUACGUGUCCUGGUUGCUUGUAAAUAGCUUAUAGAUUCCUCUCUCUCUCUUAUAAAAGAGCUUAAACCUCACGUCUCCCUGUCACUUAUAAAAGAGCAUUCAGCUCACUUGUCUAUGUCUUAAAAGAGCUCAAAGCUCAUGUGUCCAUGUCCCUUAUAAAAGAGCAUGAAGCGCACGUGUCUCUGUGGCCUAUAAAAGAGCUUAAAGCUCACUUCUCCCUGUUGCUUAUCAAAGAGCUUAAAAGUUACUUGUCCCUCCCCAUUUGUAAAUGUCCCUGCGUUUAUAAAAUUGCAUAUAGCUCAUGUGUCCUUGAUGCUUGUAAAAGAGCUUAAAGCUCACGUGUCUAUAUCGCUUAUAAAAGAGCUUAAGGCUCAUGUGUCUCUAGCUUAAGGCUCAUUUGUAAAAAAGAGCUUAACGGCACAUGUUCUCUUGCUUAUAAAAGAGCUUAAUGCUCAUAUCCUAAUGAUUAUGAAGUAGCACAAUGCUUAUGAAAGAAUUGCUCAAAUGUCCAUGUUGCUUAUGAAAAGCGUCUAAUGCUCAGGUAUCACUCAUAGCUUGAUUCUACAUGUCCCUACUGCUUAUAAAGAGCUUAAGCUCACUUAUCGUGUGGCUUAUGAAAGAGCCUAAAGCUCACUUGCCCUUGUUACUUAUAAAAAGCAUAAAGCUCACUUGCCCAUGCUGCUUAUUGAAAAACUUAAAGCUCACUUGUCCCUGUCAUUUGUAAAAGAACUUAACUCACUUAUCCUCAUGUUAAUUGAAGAGUUAAAGCAUAAAGCUCACUUGUCCCUCUGCAUAUUAAACAGCAUAAAGCUCGCGUGUCCCUAUGGCUUAUAGAAAAGCUUGAAGGUUAGUUGUCCCAGUCUCUUAUAGAAGAGUUUAAAGCUCACG
rnacentral:lncRNA from 1 species